rnacentral:rRNA from 1 species
CCUACGGGAGGCAGCAGUGGGGAAUUUUGGACAAUGGGGGCAACCCUGAUCCAGCCAUGCCGCGUGAGUGAAGAAGGCCUUCGGGUUGUAAAGCUCUUUCGGCCGGAACGAAAUCGCGCACGUGAAUAACGUGCGUGGAUGACGGUACCGGAGUAAGAAGCACCGGCUAACUACGUGCCAGCAGCCGCGGUAAUACGUAGGGUGCGAGCGUUAAUCGGAAUUACUGGGCGUAAAGCGUGCGCAGGCGGUUCGCUAAGUCAGACGUGAAAGCCCCGGGCUUAACCUGGGAACGGCGUUUGAAACUGGCGGGCUCGAGUACGGCAGAGGGGGGUGGAAUUCCACGUGUAGCAGUGAAAUGCGUAGAUAUGUGGAGGAACACCGAUGGCGAAGGCAGCCCCCUGGGCCGAUACUGACGCUCAUGCACGAAAGCGUGGGGAGCAAACAGGAUUAGGAUACCCUGGUAUCCACGCCCUAAACUAUGUACACUAGUUGUACGGGANCAUUCCUGUACNCNGCUACGACGUGAGU